GUCAUUAUUUAUGCUGUGGAAUUUGGUAUCAUUGGUGUCAUCCUCCUGAUUUUCUGCGUUGUCCAGCGAGUGACAAAGAAAACUCAAACAUAAAAGAUGCUUUAAUAUCCAAGGAAGAGCUCAGCUAAGAUAAUGAGGCUGAUUCUGUUGGAAACUGGAAGACUGACUGGAAAACUACGAUGGAGGUGGGCGUUCCGGGAGAGACGCGUCCAUGGAGUCGCUGGGGGUUGAAAACGACUCGACAACGUAAGACAAG